CAUAUUAAUGAUGCGCCUCUCUUCUUUCAGGAACUGUAUAUCGCUGUAGGGAUAUCUGGAGCCAUCCAGCAUUUAGCUGGGAUGAAAGACAGCAAGACAAUUGUGGCCAUUAACAAAGACCCGGAGGCCCCCAUCUUCCAAGUGGCAGAUUAUGGAAUAGUCGCCGAUCUGUUCAAGGUAGUUCCUGAAAUGACAGAGCUAUUAAAGAAAAAAUGAGUCAUGAUCAUAUGUUCAGAAGAAAAAUUAUGAGUAUUCCGCUGAAAUUAUAGUCACGGCUGUUAUAACAAUCGUUGGAAAGCUGCAUUUCAUAACUUGAGGGGAAAUUCUAACAGGUGCCAGAAUGCUUUUUUAUGGGGGUAUUACGUUUCUUUUUAACUGUGGUUCCAAACAAUUAUUUUUGAAAUUUUCUAAUUCUGUAAUAAAAUAUAAUAAAGUCUUUCCACAGCUUUAAACUAC